UGUAUUUGAAUGUUUUGACUGGACGUAUGGCUGUGCACCCCUUGCCGGCUUGGUGCCCGUGGAUCUCCGAUCCUCUGAAACUGGAAUUACAGGUGUCUAUGAGCUGCUAUACAGGCCAUCCUAUCCACCAUCUGAUGCCCCUCCCGCCUCCACCAUGAAGGAUUCUAACUCUCAGGAACCAUACAGUCAAUAAACUCUCCUGAAAAUUGUU